rnacentral:rRNA from 1 species
CCUACGGGAGGCAGCAGUGGGGAAUAUUGCACAAUGGGGGAAACCCUGAUGCAGCGACGCCGCGUGAGUGAAGAAGUAAUUCGUUACGUAAAGCUCUAUCAGCAGGGAAGAAAUACUGACCUUACGGUCAGCAGACGGUACCUGAGUAAGAAGCCCCGGCUAACUACGUGCCAGCAGCCGCGGUAAUACGUAGGGGGCAAGCGUUGUCCGGAUUUACUGGGGGUAAGGGGGGUGUAGGCGGUUGGCCGAGUCUGGAGUGAAAUGCCCCGGCUUAACUGGGGAAGUGCGUUGGAUACUGGCGAACUAGAGUGCGGGAGGGGUGAGCGGAAUUCCUGGUGUAGCGGUGGAAUGCGUAGAUAUUAGGAAGAACACCGGUGGCGAAGGCGGCUUACUGGGCCGUAACUGACGUUGAGGCUCGAAAGCGUGGGGAGCGAACAGGAUUAGAUACCCUGGUAGUC